rnacentral:rRNA from 1 species
GACGAACGCUGGCGGCGUGCUUAACACAUGCAAGUCGAACGGAAAGGCCCUGCUUUUGUGGGGUGCUCGAGUGGCGAACGGUGAGUAACACGUGAGUAACCUGCCCUUGACUUUGGGAUAACUUCAGGAAACUGGGGCUAAUACCGGAUAGGAGCUCCUGCUGCAUGGUGGGGUUGGAAAGUUUCGGCGGUUGGGGAUGGACUCGCGGCUUAUCAGCUUGUUGGUGGGGUAGUGGCUUACCAAGGCUUUGACGGGUAGCCGGCCUGAGAGGGUGACCGGCCACAUUGGGACUGAGAUACGGCCCAGACUCCUACGGGAGGCAGCAGUGGGGAAUAUUGCACAAUGGGCGGAAGCCUGAUGCAGCAACGCCGCGUGCGGGAUGACGGCCU